rnacentral:rRNA from 1 species
UAGGGAAUCUUCGGCAAUGGGGGCAACCCUGACCGAGCAACGCCGCGUGAGUGAAGAAGGUUUUCGGAUCGUAAAGCUCUGUUGUAAGUCAAGAACGAGUGUGAGAGUGGAAAGUUCACACUGUGACGGUAGCUUACCAGAAAGGGACGGCUAACUACGUGCCAGCAGCCGCGGUAAUACGUAGGUCCCGAGCGUUGUCCGGAUUUAUUGGGCGUAAAGCGAGCGCAGGCGGUUUGAUAAGUCUGAAGUUAAAGGCUGUGGCUCAACCAUAGUUCGCUUUGGAAACUGUCAAACUUGAGUGCAGAAGGGGAGAGUGGAAUUCCAUGUGUAGCGGUGAAAUGCGUAGAUAUAUGGAGGAACACCGGUGGCGAAAGCGGCUCUCUGGUCUGUAACUGACGCUGAGGCUCGAAAGCGUGGGGAGCGAACAGGAUUAGAUACCCUGGUAGUCCACGCCGUAAACGAUGAGUGCUAGGUGUUAGGUCCUUUCCGGGACUUAGUGCCGCAGCUAGCGCAUUAAGCACUCCGCCUGGGGAGUACGACCGCAAGGUUG